rnacentral:rRNA from 1 species
GAUGAACGCUGACAGAAUGCUUAACACAUGCAAGUCGAUGGGGAAGUGGUGCUUGCACCAUGGUAACCAUGGCGGACGGGUGAGUAACGCGCAAGGAGCUUGCCUGCGGGACUGGGAUAACAGCAGGAAACUGCUGAUAAUACCGGAUAAGGUCAUUAAGCUGCAUAGCUUAGUGAUGAAAGGAGACGCCUGCGGAGAGCCUUGCGUCCUAUUAGCUAGUUGGAGGGGUAACGGCCCACCAAGGCGAAGAUAGGUAGCCGGCCUGAGAGGGUGGACGGCCACAAGGGGACUGAGAUACGGCCCUUACUCCUACGGGAGGCAGCAGUGGGGAAUAUUGGACAAUGGGGGCAACCCUGAUCCAGCAAUUCUGUGUGCACGAAGACGGUUUUCGGAUUGUAAAGUGCUUUCAGCAGGGAAGAAGGAAGUGACGGUACCUGCAGAAGAAGCGACGGCUAAAUACGUG